UUUGAUUUUUGUUAUGCCCAAUAAAAACAGGGUUCUUAUCAGUUUAAUCUCUGAUACAUUCCCCAUCGGGGAAUCUAGAUUAAAUUGAUUUUUGAAAGUUGGUCAUGGAAUAAGAGCUUGCUCUGUCCUGACCGCGGAUCGGCUCGGUAUUGCAGUACCUCCGAGAUCGGUCCAUCCCCU
rnacentral:snRNA from 1 species